AUAUUCCAAUGCUUUAAUCAAUUUCUUAGCCAGUAUCACCAUAUUUUUAAGGAUUUUUUUUGACACAGUCUAUUAUUUUUAAAUUUUGAUAAAAUUGUAUGUAAUCCUCAAUGCUGGACUUUAUGGUUAAUAAACUUGAAAUUAUAGCUACCUUCAAAUGGCGCUUCUCUGAACACCAUACCUUUUAAAUUGAGAUAUAUACUCUGCAUAUACUAAGGUAAUCAGAAGUCUUAGAAUAUAGCCAAUGAAAUGGAAAAUAUCCUCAUGAGUAUUGUGAAUAUGGAAUAUUAGAUUGCAAAUAUUUUAGCAGUUGAUGUAUUUUGCCUUCACAGUACAUUUCUACUUUUUUUUUUGCCACUUAGUCUAGGAAGGGUACAUUUAUUUAAAAAUUAUUCCUAAAGCCAAACAAAUUGGCUCAAUUUAUGAUACCUUUGAAUGUUAAGCCAAAUUUAGGUGUUACGGAAACAUAAACCUUCUCAAUUGCAUUCCAUUCUAACACAAAUUGUAAAUGUAUCCAGUUAGAAAUGGGAGCACCAUCAAAAGACUACUGCCAUAGCUGAAGAAAGUCCUAUGCAAAAUUGAAGAAUUUCAAAAUUAAAUCCUGUAUAUAAUACGUUAGUUCAUGACUUUAUUUAUUCAGUUUCUUCCUUAAUUUGUAGGACUAAAUCCCAUUGUCUUCAUGUUGGCAAGUUCUGAUAACUGAAAUUCUGUUGAAUUUCUAUACUGAAUAGGAGUAAGGAUAGAUGAUAUCACUGUUUUGUGCCAAAUCAACAGAAUCUUAAACAACCAAAGGGUUAAAGAACAAAUAAAAAGAGAAUUUAGAAAACAUUUUAGAUAAAUACAAAUUUACUAAAGUUCAUGAGAUGCUUACUGCUCAGGGAAAAAUUUAUAGCUCUACAUGCCUAUAAAAAGGAGGAAAGAUGUCAAAUCAAUGACCUAACUGUAUACACUUAGGAAUUAGAAUAUGAAAAAUAGAAAAAAAAAAAAAGCAAAACCAGGAGAAGAAAGGAAAUAAUAAAGAUAAAAGUGAGGUUAGAUUAAAUAGAAAAUAGAAAAAUAAUAGAGAAAACUUACAAAAUUAAAAGCUGGUUCUUUGAAAAGAUCAAAAAAAGUGGCAAAACUGUAGCAGGACUGAACAAGAAAAAAGAGAAAACAUCAAAAUUACUAAAGUCAGAGCUGAAAGUGGAGACAUUACUAAACUUACAAAAAUGAAAAUGAUGAUAGAAGAAAAUUAUAAACAAUUGUAUGUCAACAAAAUAACCUAAAUGGAAAGGAAAAAGUCCUAGAAACACACAAACUAUCACUGACUCAAGAAAAAAUAGAAAAUCUUAACAGGAGUGAUGUCAGCAAGAUAGAAGAAUGGGACUUUCCAGCACUUAGCUCUCACAGAAACAUCAAUUUAAACGUAUAUCUAUGCAUGAACAAACUUUCACAGGAGCUAAAGAAUCCAAGUAGCUCACUCAGAGGGGAUGGGAAUGAAGCAGCUAGUAGACAACUGUCUCUGAGACAGCAAAAAUGUUGGAUUUAGCAAAGAUCUGAAAGCAGCUAUUUUAAUUAUGUUCAAAGAACUAAAACAAGCCAUAUGUAAAGAAUUUAAAGAAGAGUAUGACAAUAAUACCCUGCCAGAGACUAUCGACAGAGAGAUGGAAAUUAUUACUGCAAUGAAAGAACCAAGUAGAAAUUCUAGAGUUGAAAAGCACAAUAACUGAAAUGAAAAAUUCACUAGAAGAACUCAUAGCAGAUUUAACCUGAAAAAAGAAUUAGUGAACUUGAAAAUAGGUCAAGUCAAUAAAAUUAUGCAGUCUGAAGAACAGAAAGAAAAACAGAAGGAAUAAAAAUGAAGAAAGCAUCAGAGGCAUGUAGUACACCAUCAAGCAAACCAACUCUCUGUGAAGUUGAUCACACACAUGCACACACACCUACAUUUACAAGAAUGUGAACACACUCCAAGUGGGAUAAACCCAGAUAUUAAUACUUAAUCAACAUGUCUCAAGGAGAGCUACCCCAGAGUCAAAUUGUCAGAAGCCAAGAACAAAGGGAAAUCUUGAAAACAGCAAGGGAAACAUUAUUCAUCAUAUAAACGAGAUUCUCAACAGGACUACUGGCUGACUUCUCAUCAGAAACAACAGAGAACAAAAGGCAGUGGGAUGAGAUUCAAAGUACUAAAACAAACAAAAACAAAAAACAAAACAAAACAAAACAAAAACAAAUAAAACCCUACCAGUCAACCAAGAAUUCUAUAUCCAGAAUAUUCUCUCUCAAAAUAUAGAUAAAAUAAAGAGAAUUGCAGAUAAGGACUGAAAGCCUUUGUUGCUAGCAGACUUUCCUAAUAAGAAAUAUUAAAGUUCUUUAGAAUGAAGGUGAUGGUCACUGGAAUCCACACAAAGAAAUAAUGAGCACUGAUUAAAGUCAUUACAUAGGUAAAUAAAAGAUAAUAUACACUUUUACUUUUUUAUUUUAACUGAUUAAAGAUAACUGCAUAAAACCAUAAUUAUACAAUUGUAUUAUUUUGUUCAUAAUGUAUAAAGUUGUAAUUUGUGUCACAUUCAUAUUACUAUGAUAGCACAAAGGAAGGGAGCUAUAUUGGAGUAAACUUUCUGUAUACUAUUGAUAUUAUUUUAUUUAUUUUGAUUUUUAAAAUUUUAUUUCUAAUUUUUUGUAGAGACAGGGUCUCACUAUAUUGCCCAGGCUGGUCGUGAACUCCUGGGCUCAGGCAAUCCUUCCACCUCAGCCUCCCAGAGUGCUGGGAUUACAGGUGUGAGCCACCAUGCCUGACGACUACUGUUAUUAUUUUAGCAAUAAUCUCAAUUAGAUUUUUUUAAGCUAAGAUAUACAUUAGUUCUUUUUAAAAGCUGAAAACAGACGGAAAACAAAAGGAUGGAAAAAGAUACAAAUAGAUACCAUACAAAUGGUGAUCAGAAGAGAAUAGGAAUGGUUAUACUACCAUCAGACAAAACAGGCUUUCAAAAUGUUACUAAAGAAAAAGAGAUUUAUUUAAUGAUAAAAGGGCAAGUUAAUUAGAAAAAUAUAACUACAAUGAACGUAUAUGCUCCUAAAAACAGGAGACUACAUACAUGAAAGGAAAACUGACAAAACUGAAGAGAGAAAAUGACAGCUCAACAAUAGAAGGUGGAGAUUUUAACACUCUAUUCUCAAUACAUACAACAACUAGACAGAAAAUCUGCAAGGAUAUAGAAGACUUAAACAACACUACAAACUAGUUUGUCUUAACUGAUGGUUGGUUGAACACUCAACCAACAAUAAAAUACAUACUCAACAUGCAACAUUUUCUAAACUAAACAAUAUACUAGACUUAUAUAUGGCAAAUCAUAAUAUUUUUUAUAAGUAAGUCAUGCUAAGUAUAUUCUCUGACCACAGUGAAAAUAAAAUUAGAAAUCAAACACUGAGGAAAUUUGGGAAAUGUAAAAAUAUUUUGAAAUUAUUCAACACAUUGUUAAAUACCCCAUGGAUCAAAGAAUAAAUUAUAAGAGAAAUUAGGAUGUAUUUUUUAUUUUACUUCCUAAAAAUAGAGAUGAGAAUCUCACUAUGUUGAUCAGGCUGGUCUCAAACUCCUGGCCUCAAGCAACCCUCCCAUCUUGGCCUCCCAAAAUGCUGGGAUUACCGGCAUGAACCAUCGCACCUUGCCUAGAAUGUAUUUUUAAUAAAAACAAAAACAAUCCAAAUUUUUGGAGCAGCUAAAUAUGUUUUUAUUUUUAGCUUUAAAUGCCUAUAGUGCUAGAAAAGAAUAAAGAUGUAAAAUCAUUUGGUAGACUUCACCAGUGAAACCAUGUAGUCUUUGGCUUUUCUUUGUUAGGAGGUAUUAGAUUGCUAUUCAUUCUUCUUACUGGUCAUAGGUAUAUUCAGAUUUUCUAUUUCUUCAUUAUUGAGUCUUAGAAAGGUGUGUGUUUCUAGAAACUUUUCCAUUUUGUCUAGGUUAUCAAAUUUAUUGGAAUACCGUUGUAAAAAGUACUCUUGAAUAAUGCUUUUUAUUAGUAUACAGUUGGUAGGAAUGGAAUGUUCCCUGUUUCAUUUCUGAUCCUAGUUAUUUCAGUCUUCCUCUCUUAAUCAAUCUGCCUAAUGGUUCUCAAUUUUGUUGAGCUUUUCAAAUAACCAACUCUUAGUUUUACUAAUUUUCUCUAUUUUUUAUUCUCUAAUAUGUUAAUCUCAAGCCUAAUAUUUUCAUUUCCUUCCUUCUACUAGCUUCAGAUUUAGUUUCUUCUUCUUUUCUAGUUUCUAAUGGCAUAAAGUUAGGGGGCUGACUUGAAAUCUUUCUUCUUUUUUAAUGUAAACACUAACAGCUAUAAAAUUCCCUUAACACUGCUUUUGCUGCAUCCCAUAAAUUUGGUAUGUUGUGUUUUCAUUUUCAUUUACCUCAUUUUCAUUUGUUUUGAUUUCUUCUUUGAUCCACUAGUUUAGAGUGUGCUUAGUUUUCAUAUACUUGUGGAUUUUACAGUUUUACUUAUGCUAUUGAAUUCUAGUUUCAAUAUUUUAACAUUAUGACUUCUUCUGUGGCCUAAGACAUAGUUUAUCCUGGAUAAUAAUCCACAUGCACUUGAGGAAAAUGUGCACUCUGCUAUUGUUGAGUGGAAAUGUUAUGUAUAUAUGUGUGUUAGGUCCAAUUGGUUCAAGUCCCCUAUUUCCUUAUUUAUCUUCUGUCCUGUUCCUCUACAUAUUAUUAAAAGUAGUGUAUUGAAGUCUCCUACUAUUAUUGCAUAGAUGUCUAUUUCUUCCUUCAAUUCUGUCAAUGUGUCCUUCAUAUAUUUUGGAGCUCAGGUGUUUAGUGUAUAUGUAUUUGUAAUUGAUAUAUCUUCUUGGUAAGUUGACCCUUUUAUUAUAUAUUCUUUGUCUCUUCUAACCUUUUUUAACUUAUAGUAUAUUUUGUCUGAUAUUAAUACAGCCAUGCCCACUCUUUUUAAUUGCUGUUUGCAUGAAAUAUCUUUUUUCUUCUUUUCACUUUCUUUUUGUUUGUUUUUUAGACGGAG
rnacentral:lncRNA from 10 species